CAAUUAUUUCCUCUUUCGUCUACUCUCCAAACAUUUCUUUCCUCCGUCCUCCCCCCGUGGUAUGUUUAUGAGCUAAUGCGUCUAUUAGUGAGGCCUUCCUUAUGCAUGUAUUUUUUCCUCCGGGUUAACAGAGGCAGUUCCCGCCUAAUUAUAAUCGCAUCCAUUAAAUCAUCAAGCGUUACCGAUUGGCCGGCAUUCGUGUUUGCUUUCCAUUCAUGUCUCAUAAUUAUGGGUUUUUAUCCAUCGAAAAAAAUGUCCGGCAAGCUUGAUUAUUAAGCAAUUUGGCCCGCAUGGCAGCCGCGCCGGGCCGCCUCCUCGGUAAUACAGUCAUUACUUCCAUAGGCUCAUUCCUGCCCCACUUUCAGAAGAGAGCGAUAACCGGACAGAGUUAACACAUUUUUACGCUGGACAUUCACAUAACUGAUCGGCCGCUGGGCAGCCAUGUUAGCAGUAAACACAAACACCCUGCCGGUAUUACUACACCCAAAACAGGAGAAAUUCCAAUAAAAAUAGUAUAAACGGCUACCAUGAGCUUACCCCUCCCUCCGCCCUCCCUGCCCCACGAAACAGAGGUCUGUAAGAGCGAGAGGGAGGGAGCGAGAGGGAGGGAUAGAGAGAAGGGUAAACCAGAGGCCGUCCUGACCACCACGACCACCGCCACCACAGAGCCUCGCCUCAAUACCCCACCCCACCCCGCCGCCACCGCCGCCGCUGCUGCCGCCGCUGCUGCCGCCACCACCUCUCCCGCCAUGUUGUAGUGGACGCUUACCCCGCGGCGGCUGGGGGACGCCACAGUGCUCCCCUCCGGCCCGGCAGCCCCAUGGCGUCUCUCCGAGACGACAGGGGGAGUGCAAGCGACACGAAAAGUCCUGACAACGCACAGACGCCUCGUCACGCCGCGCCGCCACCCUCGGGGAGUCGAGCCGCCAGCCGGAGCGCCUCGCCCUUCCAAUAACAGGUCAAGCCGGAGUUCCCGAAACGAAGGAGGAGGAGAUAUCGUGACCCGGGGACGAGCACGAGUGAUUGGAUCCCGAAGAUGUGGUGCAGCCAAUCAGGGUGACGGCAGGGACGGAGCAGUGACUAUGGAGGAAGACCGCCUCGCAGUCUUCCCUUCAGCCGCCUCUCCUCGCACCAUCGUCCCCCCGCUGCUCGUCCUCCCGGCUCCUCCCAAAUUCUACCUCCCUCCACUCAAGCGUCGCAGCACCCCCGCAGAGUCAACACUGGGGAGGCUCCGGCCCAGAUACGGAGCGAGAUAAGUCAAUAAAAUCGCCCUCUUAGCCGGCCAACCACAGACAGAUGAGGAUAUUUACAAGGAAUUAACUUUCCUCCUCUCGCGGACCAGUUAAAGAUGCUCGCCAUUUGAGUUAGGCGAAGGGCGAACGAGAGGACUGUGGCUGUCCCCGUCUGGUGUGUGCCUUGACAUCUCGACCUGUGAUUAGACGUAUAAAUACCUUCUCGUGACGUUAAUGUUCCCCUCCCCCGCCUCGAGGCAGCUGUACGGUGUGAGGGGCAGGGAAGGGUAAGGAUACCAAUACACCUCAUCCAUCUCCCUUUAUCCUUGGACAUGAACUUAGAGCCACUACAGCGUGUCUUCACAGCGUCCUGGGCCAAGGGAGGACAGGGGUGACACGAUUCAUAUUGAUUACAAACUUUUGUAACCAAAGUUAUAUUUUGUUUACUCGGCAAAAUUGUAGCAACAGCAAAACACAUUUAUGAUAUUUAAUAUUUGCCAAGGCUAAAGUAUGAACUUUUCAAAUAUUCCCAUCAAAAGUAUGGGACGUUCUUUUUAUUAAAUUUUGAAUAUAUCUAAUCCUCUUUGUUCAGUUGAAGCAGCAGACAACACAGAAUAUUGAAUGAAGUUAAUCAAAAGCAAGAUCUUGAAAUAUUAAAUAUACAAAUGAUUUGACAUGCAAUAUAUACCAGCUUAGUAGUAAAAUAUUUUCCAUUUAUACAACCGACAUUUUGUGAUUCAAACGCCUGGCCGCUGAGCCCCGCCCGCCGCCCCGAGCUCAUCCCUCUGCCGUAUUGUCAGGUGCAGGUGCGCGACACUUUAUGGCACAGGUACAGGAUCACGAAAAUACUAAUCGACAGUCACACAUAUAUUGCUCACGCGUCCCAAUCUUCAGUAAAUAAUGGUGCGUGUCCGCCGCUCUGGUCAAUACCAAAUUUUUCUUUUAAUGCCGGGGUGGCGGCGCGUACGCCGGGCCAGUCCCAGGUAUUCGCUGUGAAUAAAUAUAAAAGAUUUACUCGGCCCAGACAUGCAGAUCUGCCAAACGUUGCCUGGAUCCAUACGGCUUGUGUUUCAUGGUCAAUAAUUCUGGUUAUGUUUACGAGGCGGACUUCUGGCGUGUAAUUGAUUAAGGAACAUAAAUCUUUAAGGAGGGGGGGGGGGGAGGACCCAAGGUAUUGUAGCGUAGGCACGCAGUGUACUAUUCUUUUAGUCUAGUGCAGUAAGGGAGCAGGAAGGGAACCUCCAGCUCCCUUAAGACAUUCCUCUAUUAACGAAUUAUUCGGAUAAUAAUUAUAAAAGUAAUUGGAUAAUUACCUGUAAUUUAUUUAUUAUACUAUGUAGGUAAAUAUAAAAUGGCACAGCUAUAAUCUGGAUUAAAUGUUGCCUGUGUUUAUAAGGCGGGGUGUGGACGGCCACGGGCGACAUUUUGUAACGAACCUGAACGUUGCAGAAAUUGGAACGUGGGAUGUUUGUGUCGGGAAAAAAGGUGCCCCAAAAAGUUUAAUGCACACCUUUGUGGUAGAAAAGAUUUUACUGCCUCAGCAUCGUCAGGUGCGUCGAUAAAUUCACAACGCCCCGUAGGUUAGUUGAUGUAUUUUUUUACUAUAAUAUUGUUUAAUAGAUUACAGUUAUUGCAACUGUUGUUUUUGUUAGUAUUACCUACAUACCCGAUAAGUAAAAAAUGUUGUAUUCAUUGAGUGUGUUAAUGUUUAAAAGUGAUUUCUUUUUACAUUCCGUUGUGUGAUGUUAAUAUUUUAAUACUUCUGAUAUGCUUAAUGUAACCUCUAAAAGUAUGAUGCGCUUUUGUACGAGCCCUGAGCCACGUCCGAGGCAUUGAUUCCUUGCUCCUUUUAUCUUAUUCACAGAAGACUCGAUGAACCGUAACACGCAACAGUCGGGAGAAAGUUUUUUUUCAGCCUAUAAUUUAUAUUUCCUUCCUUGCAAUAAAGUUCUUAAAGUGUCUUCCUGUUGUCGCAAUCAGUGACAAAAUCCUGCCUGAGACGACUUGUGAUAGCAGUGAUUGGUGGCGUGCUGAGUGGCUGACACAAGUGUUUCAACGCUGCCAAACCACUAACUUAUCAGUGGUUUUUUUUUUAUGAUGGACUAAAAUAGCAUCGCAGAGGUCAUUACAGAAAGUUGAGAUCAUGAGAAUGUCCGGGGUCAUGAGGGGGCGACGGCGACCUCUACAUGGAUGUGGUUGUGUAACGACGUGCCAUCAGGACACGUCGCUCCCUCACUAAAGCAUGACACACCACAACUUUUUUUUUCUGGAUGGCCUGACGACCCGGCACGCUACAGUGAGGCCAGAAUACCUUUCACGUCGCCAGUAUAUUCUUGGCUUUGUAUGAUUGCCUAAUAAAACAUGACUUAAGAAUA